AGAGUUUGAUCUUGGCUCAGGACCGAACGCUGGCGGCGUGCCUAAUUACAUGCCAAGUUAGAACGCCUGAAGACUUUAGCUUCCUAGAGUUGGAAGAGUUGCGAACGGGUGAGUAACGCGGUAGGUAACCUGCCUACUAGCGGGGGAUAACUAUUGGAAACGAUAGCUAAUACCGCAUAACAGUGUUUAACACAUGUUAGAUGCUUGAAAGAUGCAAUUGCAUCACUAGUAGAUGGACCUGCGUUGUAUUAGCUAGUUGGUGGGUAACGGCCUACCAAGGCGACGUACAUAGCCGACCUGAGAGGGUGAUCGGCCACACUGGGACUGAGACACGGCCCAGACUCUACGGGAGGCAGCAGUAGGGAAUCUUCGGCAAUGGGGGCAACCCUGACCGAGCAACGCCGCGUGAGUGAAGAAGGUUUUCGGAUCGUAAAGCUCUGUUGUAAGAGAAGAACGUGUGUGAGAGUGGAAAGUUCACACAGUGACGGUAACUUACCAGAAAGGGACGGCUAAUACGUGCCAGCAGCCGGCGGUAAU
rnacentral:rRNA from 1 species